rnacentral:rRNA from 1 species
CACGUAGGGCGCAAGCGUUGUCCGGAAUUAUUGGGCGUAAAGAGCUCGUAGGCGGUCUGUUGCGUCCGCUGUGAAAACUCGGGGCUUAACCCCGAGCCUGCAGUGGAUACGGGCAGACUAGAGGUAGGUAGGGGAGAAUGGAAUUCCCGGUGUAGCGGUGAAAUGCGCAGAUAUCAGGAGGAACACCGGUGGCGAAGGCGGGUCUCUGGGCCGAAACUGACGCUGAGGAGCGAAAGCGUGGGGAGCGAACAGG